CAACAGCCGUGCUUCCACCGUGCUCCUGAUUAGCAAUCAGGGCCCCAGCGCUGCUGUGAUUAAAGGACAAGCAGAUGGGCGGCUUCCAACGCUCCUGCGACUCAGGGUCAAGCCUCCCAGCAAAGGAGAUGGACUCUGCUUUUCCCAACAACACGGCCGUGCCCGGGAAGAGGAGGUGCCCAGGGCUGUGUCCACGGAACCUGCCCAGGUCCUUCACUCCCAACAGAGCCUGGUGUCCAACGCCAGGCAGUUCACGUGUUGGGAAAGCCAAGGCCAUACCAAGGGGGCUGGACUCACUUCUGUAACCUGGACCAAGGCUUGCAGUGUUCACACAGCAUCCACGUGGUUGUCCUAAGCCUCUGACUAUUUUGCAGAGUUCUGACAACGUCUGGACUCCAACUGUUUUCUCCUCCAUCUCUCUCUUUUGUUUGGUUUUUUUU
ensembl:lncRNA